AGGAAAACCCUGUAUUGUCCUUCCUCAAAGCCUCCUUGUGCCAUGCUUUGCCAAACUGAAGAAAGCAUCUGACAUGGGUCUGAAGCAUUUCGACAUGCAGCUGCGUGGACAAGUCGGCCCCAGGAGCCAGUCCAGCUCCAGGUUCCCACCCAGCAAGGUAUCUCCCAUCACACAGUGAAGCAGCAGCUGAAGGUUGUCCUCACCCACUGCAGUGCCUCAGCUUACCAUAGGCUCCUUUGGCAUAGCAGGAAGAAAACCUGGCUUUAGAAGAGGCGUUCAGACAGGAAGCAGCAAUGUUCCAGGAGGAUUUCUGAGUGAAACGGGAGAGCAACUGGCUUCUCGAAGCGGAUAUUUCAGAGAUCCCUGAAUCAUGCUGCUGCACAGUUGGAGCAGUCAGGACCGAAGAACCAACACCCCGGGGUACCUGGACUUCCCCAGCACUUGCACACUGUGUUGGAGCUGAGCUGCACAAGCCUCUUUGGAGUGGAAGGAGAAAUCCCCAUGCUCUGGUAGGCAGUGAAACAGCUAAAUGUCAACACAGAGGACGCCCAGGCGGCUUUUGAAACUGUCUCAUGUCAAUGCUUGAGUUUUUAAUCCCGUCUGAGAUACUAACAUGUUCAGAUUAGACUUAUUGGUCAAGUGAGGUGAAAAGACACAGGUGCCUUGGGCAACUGUGGGCAAGAGCAGCCAACUCAGACCUGUGCGAAUCGCACUCGGAUGUCCUCACAAACACCCUGGGUGGUGAAACCUGCAUCGCCUGAGCACAUCACUGUCCUGUGCUCAGAAACAGGCAACAACAGGAGGAACAGCAGGUGAGCAUUUGCACGAGAACAUUAGGCCCAGGUCCUGUAAAAGCUGUUUCUGUGCUGUGGCUGUGACAAGUUGCUCUAUUAAUUAUUGAUGAUAUUAAUAGCAGUGUGUAAAGCUGAUGCUAGAGCAAGCUUCUUGGGUAAGCAGAAGAGCCAUGUGAGCAAUGAGUAUGCUGACUAAGGUAGAAAGGGUAAUUUUUUUUGGUGUGUUUGUUUUAUUUAUUAAGGACUUUAAAAUAAUGGCCAAUGGGGAAAAGUGAGUACAAUUGUUCUGAGGUUUGUGAUUUUUAUUUUAUUUUUUUUUUUACAUUUUGUUAACAUUCUGCCUGGUCUAUUAUGGGUUCUUCUCUGGCCAGCUGCUCAUAUCCUUUUACAUUACCUCUGUCAAUUAGGCUAAAAUAUCAGAAAGAAGGGGGGAGAGGAUCUCUCGUCAAGUGAUCUUUCCAGG
rnacentral:lncRNA from 1 species